CAUCCGAUAUAAACUGCAACUCUGCCAUGGAUUGCGGCGAGAAGAAAAUGGAAAUGGAAUGAUUUAUAAAUGAGCCAGCAUCUCUGUCAUAAAACACGAUAGCAUUGUGAGCGUUAGCCUUGUUUCACUGGAGGGUCGGAUAUACGGACGUGGUGUUACUUCUCGUCACUAUUUCAUAACUGCCUUAGUUUCUAAAGGAUAACCAAGGAUUCAAGGGGAUGAUCAUGGUUACCUGGCAUGUGAACCUCGUAUCGUGUUUGUUGUUGGCUUUCAUUACGUCGCUAUUUCAAAUGAGAGGCUUCUUUCCUGCAUCAAUGACGGAAGCUUUGCGUCUCUCCACCUGCGACUACGACUACGAACUACUCUGCGAAACUAUAAAGCGAGUUCCAUUGUCCAAAUGUGGUAACAGUACGAUCAGGAGGCAGGCGUUAAAGGAAUGCAAGCGGAAUGUAUGCGGCGCUCUUGUUGGGAGGGACCAAUGGAAAGAGGCAUGUAAUGCACAGAGGAUGUUAAAAGUCGUAUCCACGUGUUAUGAACCGUUACAACCACCAUGUGAAGAAAAAUAUCUGGGCAAGACUGACCCAUUGACCAUGUAGAUCUGUCUAUGCUGGUGAUCAACUGCCCUUGUCCAAACACUUACUCCCUGUGACUAACUUCUGAACUGCAGGUCUUUUUGGAUCAUGAAACCACUGCAGCUUAGUGCCAACCGGACUAUAAUAAUAGGUCGAUCCGUA